UACGUAGGGCGCAAGCGUUAUCCGGAAUUAUUGGGCGUAAAGAGCUCGUAGGCGGUUUGUCGCGUCUGCUGUGAAAACCUAAGGCUCAACCUUGGGCUUGCAGUGGGUACGGGCAGACUAGAGUGCGGUAGGGGUGACUGGAAUUCCUGGUGUAGCGGUGGAAUGCGCAGAUAUCAGGAGGAACACCGGUGGCGAAGGCGGGUCUCUGGGCCGAUACUGACGCUGGAGGAAGCGAAAGCGUGGGGAGCGAACAG
rnacentral:rRNA from 1 species